GCUUUCCUUGUCUUGGGGUGAGAGAGUUGCUCAAUGAGCGCUUAGCGAGAGCAGCCCUGCUGACACCAGAACAACACGUGAGCACCACCUGGACUCCGGUCCAGCGCACGGUGCAAUUUUUGGAACA